CAUAAAACUACUGCUGCGCUACAUUGUGCCACCCGACCGCCCUCACACCUUUGCUGACAGCUCUUCUGCGUUGCCUAACUCCAAUACGACUCGGUGUAAGCGCAGCGCUCGCCAUUCGAAUUCAACUGAUUUGGCCCGAAUCAGUCGUCAGUGUGUCUUAAGCGACUAUAGUCGUUGAGCUCGUCAUCUCUCGUCGUAGCGUUUUUGGUCGUUGCGUUAGUGCAUUAGCUGAUACAGUUAGUUUUCCAUUUUAACGAACGAAAUUACGAGUCCCCUGUUUUCUUGUUUUCUGGCGUGGUAGCAUCUUGGCAGCUUCACGGAAUUUAGGACAGUUAGUUCUAUUGAUGCCGCGCUGUAAAAGUGUUUGUGAGUGUAUGUGUGUGCGCGCGGGUAUACAAUAAGUCAGCGCCAGCCAAAUCUAUUUCCGCUAGCGUUUGCAUUGGCAAAUUAUAUCAUAAAAUCAACAUUGCGCGGUCGUUUUGCCAUUGACAUAGGUCACGUCGCCAACGUAUGUAUACGUGCGCUGCGUUCGAACUGCGAGCCGCCUCAGCGCUGUGUUCAGUGUGCGAAUAGUAACGCCUUCACGCGCAUACAUCGCCGCCGCCUGUAUGUAUAAGUGGUAUGUACUAACAUCUAGUGUACUUUAACAGCUUAACUGCAUAGCAGCAGCGCGUAUACCAACGCACAUACAAGCGCACAUUUACACAUACGUCGUGUACUUUUGGUGUUUGCACGCGUGUUGUGCGCGCAGCGUAGUAAGCACGCACCGGCAGUGCUGCCGCGAGGCGCCUACAAAUAUACAACGGCCAUAUAAUCAUACACAAACAUAAGUAUUCGGGCGCUCACAUACACAUACACAGGCGCCGCAUUAAGCACUUUAUGUGCGGUAAUUCGAAUAUAAAUUUGAUGUUCCUGCGAAUUGCAGCAACGAAGCAACAAAGAAAGCGAAUGUGAAAUUGCCAGCAACAAUUUGUUGUUUGCGUGAGCGUAAUACAUAUAAUAAACGCAACAAGAACAACAGCAAUAAAAAUAAAAACAAAAAGAACAACAUUAGUGAAUACCAGCAAUUGCGGCAAUAAAUAAAUUCCGUGUAUGCUGAAUCAAGAAUUGCACUAAAUCGUGUGCGCGUGUGUGUCAAAUUACUGAACGCUGUCGUUUAUUCGGCGCGCUGAUUCUUAAACACUUGCGUAUUCUUCGAAAGUACAAAUACUAAAUUUACGUGCUGUGUGAGUUAAACGGAAGCAAAUUACUAGAGUAAGGCGCGGUAGGCUAUUAUCAUUUGCUCACUUUGUCGUUAACGGUGUGCUUUUCAAGCACUUACACAGACACACUCACCCAUACAUACAUACCUAGAUUUGUUUACUUACUUUUGAGCACAUUGUUGCCGGUAGUGUUUUCGUGGCACUUGUGCGGUUCGUAAAAACAAAAGUUGUUGACAUUAAAAUUUCCGUAAAUGCGCGCUUAAUGCAGUUGCUCGUUUGAGUUGUGAGUGUUGCUCUUGCAAAGUAUCGUUGCAGAUGUGUUGUAAAUAAAACGAAAAUUUGUUUGUGUAAACACUUGUGAGACUCUGGAGUGCUGUUGUUGAAAGGCAAUUUUGCAAACAAUCAGCUGUGGCAUUUUUAAAGUGAGUGAAAGUUUGAAAUUUAGACUAAAAAGUGCUUGCAAGUCCGAAUUGUGAAACUCUUUAAAUAUUCGGUCAGUUGUCAUAUAAAGAAACGAGCUUUUUGAAGAGCAUAUUUUGACUUGAUAUUAAAAGAUUAGAAAGAGAUAUCUGCACGCACUGAAAUUUGUGUAGCCAUUGAUUAUUUAGACAAGAAACUGCAGUUUAUAAAGAAG